CCACUAAAAUGGGUUUGUCAAGAAUAAAACUUGUCAAACCAAUCUGAUUUCAUUCUUUGGCAGGCUGUGUGGCCUUAGUGGAUAGCUGGAAGCAGUAGAUGUGAUCCAUCCUAACUUCAGUAAAUCUUUAGACACUGUCCCACAUGACGUUCAAAUAAGCAAGUUAAGAAAACACUGUCUGCAUAGGAGAAUGCAGCUGGUUUGAAAAAUUGCUCUGUGGUUAAUUCCUACACUGGGAGAGUAUUUCCAACUGGAGAAAGAGGUGUUAAUGUCUAGAAAAUCUGGUAUUCGUAGGUUAUUUCCUUCUGAGGCAUAUGUAAGUAAAACUACAAGACAAAAAGAUUGGACAAUAUUACAGGAUCCCCUGAGGUCUCCAAUGGCAAACCUUUAUGGGCAGGGGUAUCACAUUUAAUAAUCCAUGAAGAAUGGCACACACCUACCGCACUUACAUAGAUGAGUAAAAUUACAUCAUGAAUUUAGUUUUUUCAAGACAUCAGGCUGCUUGCAUUUGAGACUUGUAACUGAUGCUCCCUUUCUCUUUUACAGGUUUGGGCAAAACUGCACCUGAUCCCACAGCCACCAUCAGUUAUGAGGGUGUAGAAGUUUCUUUGGGGAAUGGAAUGUCAACAGGAAUUAAUGAUACUUUUCUUCUGUAUAAUGAAUAUAUUGUCUACAGUGUUGCUCAGGUAAAUCUGAAGUACCUGCUGAAACCGAAAUUCAGCUACAAGACAUCACUCUAGUGAACAAUAUAUACAAGCCCUGUUCUCGAGUUAUACCGUGGUUAUGCUAUAGCGUGGACUUUUGACAUGCUUAAGCAUUGACUGACCUUAUCAAGAUAUCAAAGAACUAAGUUGCAGAAGUUAUUAAAUUUGAAUUUAGUAAAUCACUUUAGUGAAUGUUUUUUAUAUAUAUAAAUGUGUGGCUACACAUGGAACUGAAUUCGGAAGAGAAUGAAUAUCUGGAUCUGUCUUAUUCCGCUUCUAGUUUUUCAGUUGUCUAGUGUUUCUUUUAAUUCGCAGUAGACUACAAAAUCAGGCAGAAGUGUUUUUAGCCAAGCAGAAGUGGGGUAGGAGAAAGAAAUUACAGAUGUUUAUAAACAUUUGCCCUGUUAAAAUGACUCAUCACCAUCUUGUUUAAAAUAUUCUUUUCCAGUUUUGAUUUUGAAUAAAUGUUAAAUGUGCAUUUAUUUUGAGGUAAAAAUAAAAGCUAAUUUCAUACUAACAACUUUAUGUUGCAAAACUUUUGAAUUGCUA